rnacentral:tRNA from 1 species
GCCCCGUUCGUCUAGCGGUCUUGGACACCGCCCUCUCAAGGCGGAGAUCACGGGUUCGAAUCCCGUACGGGGUACCA